rnacentral:misc_RNA from 1 species
AGUCGUAACAAGGUUUCCGUAGGUGAACCUGCGGAAGGAUCAUUGCACACACAAAAAAAACUGCAAACAACCCCCUUUUGAGAAUUAUGCUAUUUUGUACAAACCCACUUUGUUGAGUGGUCGGACUUGUUUUUGUGUCUUGUUGUUGUUGUUGCAGAAAUGCACACAGCAAAGGAGGCACAGGACAAGCUCGAACACAAAACAACACAUUGCACAAUGAUUUACACAUUUUUUUUUGACUGAAUUUGUAUCGAGACCCUAUGAAAAGCCUCCCCUUCUUCGGAAGAGAGGGGUUUUCAUGAGUUGAGAUUUUAUGAAUAAUAAAAUACAACUCUCAGCAACGGAUAUCUUGGCUCUU